CAAUAGCGUAUAUUAAAGUUGUUGCAGUUAAAAAGCUCGUAGUUGGAUUUGUGGCGUACGGUGUGUUCCGGGCACUUGUUGUCUGAGUAACCUGCUGUUGCCAUCCUUGGGUGGAACCUGUGUGGCAUUAGGUUGUCGUGCAGGGGAUGCCCAUCAUUUACUGUGAAAAAAUUAGAGUGUUCAAAGCAGGCUUAUGCCGUUGAAUAUAUUAGCAUGGAAUAAUGAGAUAGGACUUUUUUGCUAUUUUGUUGGUUUGCGCAAAGAGGUAAUGAUUAAUAGGGACAGUUGGGGGUAUUCGUAUUCCAUUGUCAGAGGUGAAAUUCUUAGAUUUUUGGAAGACGAACUACUGCGAAAGCAUUUACCAAGGAUGUUUUCAUUAA
rnacentral:rRNA from 1 species